UAACUGCAACAUCUUUCCAAUACACUGAAAAUCGUGGAAGUGGUGUAUACUACUACCCAUUCUGGACUGGAUUGCCAUACAACUCCAGAACAGGGAUGUGGGUCUGGGCGGACAAUUCAGCUCUCUCCUCUAGCCUGUUUGUGCUCUCAGACCCCAGUCCUCAGAAUUAUCCGGGUGGAGCUUGUGCAUAUUUGCAAGGUGAUAAAGUGAAACCUGGAGACUGUGGAGAACUUCGAUUCUGCCUUUGUGAGAAGAAGAAGGAAGCACAAGGAAAAAAAAAAGUUGAUUGACCCACCAGAUAGAUGCUGUGGUGGGGACUGACCAAAGAGACUGCUGCAGCUGAAAGUGGAGCAUGGAGCUCAGGAGAGGAAAUGGAUGCAACACCAGAAAUCCACAAAUCUUGUGCUACUGUUUGAAAGGAGAACAGCAGGGUCAUAAAAUGCAUCUUGGGUCAGUGCAGCUGCUAUCCUUGGAUGUCUGCUAAGCCACAUAGAUGCAAAAAAGCCUGAACCCCUUCUGCCCCCUCUUUCAGUUCAUGCCUGUUUUAGUUGGCAACAAUCUCUUUCCCCCGCAGCCAAACUGCAUCUGCUGGAGCCAGCAGAGAGGGGAUACUUCUACCUUCAUUACAUCCAUGUACCUUCUUUACUGUAACCUGUGAUGGGCUGUCGUGGUAGCUUGGUAACACAUAUGGCGAACAAGAAUUUCCAGGGAAAAGUGGUGUGUACAGCCAUUGUGGGCAUCACCAGCCCAUGGAUAUCAGAGAUGGAGAAACACCCAUUAUCUCCCAGUGACUGCUCAUGCCCAGGCACUGAUAUCUCCUGUUGUGUACAAGGCAGGAUAUGCUUCUGCCCAACAGCAGGAGCCCUAAUGUCUGGAGUUUCCACCACUACCCCGGGGAGGCUCCAUGUCUUCCAUUUGAUACAAGAAUUUCACCUUGGUUCUCAAAAUAAACCAUCUCCCACCA